rnacentral:rRNA from 1 species
GAUGAACGCUGGCGGCGUGCCUAAUACAUGCAAGUCGAGCGAACAGACGAGGAGCUUGCUCCUCUGACGUUAGCGGCGGACGGGUGAGUAACACGUGGAUAACCUACCUAUAAGACUGGGAUAACUUCGGGAAACCGGAGCUAAUCCCGGAUAAUAUAUUGAACCGCAUGGUUCAAUAGUGAAAGACGGUUUUGCUGUCACUUAUAGAUGGAUCCGCGCCGCAUUAGCUAGUUGGUAAGGUAACGGCUUACCAAGGCAACGAUGCGUAGCCGACCUGAGAGGGGGAUCGGCCACACUGGAACUGAGACACGGUCCAGACUCCUACGGGAGGCAGCAGUAGGGAAUCUUCCGCAAUGGGCGAAAGCCUGACGGAGCAACGCCGCGUGAGUGAUGAAGGUCUUCGGAUCGUAAAACUCUGUUAUUAGGGAAGAACAAAUGUGUAAGUAACUAUGCACGUCUUGACGGUACCUAAUCAGAAAGCCACGGCUAACUACGUG